rnacentral:rRNA from 1 species
GACGAAGGGGGCUAGCGUUGUUCGGAAUUACUGGGCGUAAAGCGAGUGUAGGUGGUUGUCACAGUCAGGUGUGAAAGCCUUGAGCUCAACUCAAGAAAUGCACUUGAUACUAGGCGACUAGAGGACUGGAGAGGAUAGUGGAAUUCCCAGUGUAGUGGUGAAAUACGUAGAGAUUGGGAAGAACACCAGUGGCGAAGGCGGCUAUCUGGACGGUUUCUGACACUAAGACUCGAAAGCGUGGGGAGCAAACAGG